rnacentral:tRNA from 1 species
UGGCUCCUUGGUCAAGCGGUUAAGACAUCGCCCUUUCACGGCGGUAACACGAGUUCGAUUCUCGUAGGAGUCAU